rnacentral:rRNA from 1 species
GACGAACGCUGGCGGCGUGCCUAAUACAUGCAAGUCGAACGCAGUGGGGACGGGUGAGGAACACGUGGGUAACCUCCCAUCAGAAGGGAUAACACUUGGAAACAGGUGCUAAACCGAUACUGAUGGAUGGACCAGCGGUGCAUUAGCUAGUUGGUGGGGUAACGGCUUACCAAGGACACGAUGCAUAGCCGACCUGAGAGGGUAAUCGGCCACAGUGGGACUGAGACACGGCCCAGACUCCUACGGGAGGCAGCAGUAGGGAAUCUUCCGCAAUGGACGAAAGUCUGACCGAGCAACGCCGCGUGAGUGAAGAAGGUUUUCGGAUCGUAAAACUCUGUUGUUAGAGAAGCGGUAUCUAACCAGAAAGCCACGGCUAACUACGUGCCAGCCGCCGCGGUAAUUC